rnacentral:rRNA from 1 species
UACGAAGGGUGCUAGCGUUGUUCGGAAUCACUGGGCGUAAAGCGCACGCAGGCGGCUUUGUAGGUUAGAGGUGAAAGCCCGGGGCUCAACUCCGGAACUGCCUUUAAGACUGCAUCGCUUGAAUCCGGGAGAGGUGAGUGGAAUUCCGAGUGUAGAGGUGAAAUUCGUAGAUAUUCGGAAGAACACCAGUGGCGAAGGCGGCUCACUGGACCGGUAUUGACGCUGAGGUGCGAAAGCGUGGGGAGCAAACAGG